rnacentral:rRNA from 1 species
ACCCGCUGAACUUAAGCAUAUCAAUAAGCGGAGGAAAAGAAACUAACAAGGAUUCCCCUAGUAACGGCGAGUGAAGCGGGAAUAGCUCAAAUUUGAAAUCUCUUGGGUUCCCCAAGCGAAUUGUAGUUUAAAGAAAUGUUUUCGGAGGCGACCUAGGUUUAAGUCUUUUGGAACAAGGCAUCAUAGAGGGUGAGAAUCCCGUAUGUGAUCUAGUGCUCGCUUCUAUGUGAUACAUUUUCAAAGAGUCGGGUUGUUUGGGAAUGCAGCCCAAAAUGGGUGGUAAAUACCAUCUAAAGCUAAAUAUUGGCAAGAGACCGAUAGCGAACAAGUACCGUGAGGGAAAGAUGAAAAGAACUUUGAAAAGAGAGUUAAAUAGUACGUGAAAUUGCCAAAAGGGAAACGUUUGAAACCAGUUUUGCUUGCAAAAUCCCAACUGAUCUUACGGUCAGCAUAUGUUUUUGUAGGCAGGUCAACAUCGGUUUCUUUUGGAGUAUAAAGCUUGGGGAAGGUAGCCUACCUUCGGGUAGGUGUUAUAGCUUCAAGUCAUGCUCCGGGGGAGACCGAGGACUGCAGUGCAGCCUUGGGGAACCGUUCGCUAGUUGAAGCAGCUGUCUGGACAACUUGUUGACCAGAUGGUUUGUUAGGCUAAUCGGGCGGCGUACCACACCUGUGCUUAGGAUGUUGACAAAAUGGUUUUAAAUGACCCGUCUUGAAACACGG